rnacentral:rRNA from 1 species
AGUGAAUUUUCAACGGCCGCGGUAUCCUGACCGUGCAAAGGUAGCAUAAUCAUUUGCCUUUUAAUUAAAGGCUUGUAUGAAUGAGUAAACGAAAAUUUAACUGUCUCAUAUUUAACAAAAAAAACUAGCCUUUAGGUGAAGAGACCUAAAUACCCCUAAAAGACAAGAAGACCCUAUCAAGCUUUAAUUUAAAAAAGAAUACUUAUUUAACCUCUACUUACAAUUUUUGUUGGGGCGACAAAGGAAAAAAUAAAUCUUCCUUAAAAAAAAGAUAUUAAAUCUUUCUAAUGAUCCUAAUACAAGAUCAACAAAAUAGUUACUGUAGGGAUAACAGACCUAUCUCCCUCAAGAGCCCAAAUCUACAGGGAGGAUUAGCACCUCGAUGUUGGCUUAGAAAAUCCUCUAGAUGCAGCAAUCUAAAAGGUGGGUUUGUUCAACCCU